rnacentral:snoRNA from 1 species
GGGCAGAGGAUGUGAAACAUUUAGACCGAUGCAUCCUUCCCGGUCUUUGAUGAUCUAAAUUGAGCUUUUUAAAACUGAUGCCUA